UACGUAGGGACCGAGCGUUGUCCGGAAUCAUUGGGCGUAAAGAGCGUGUAGGCGGCUUGCUAAGUCUUGCGUGAAAUCUCGGGGCUCAACCCCGAGCGGUCGUGGGAAACUGGCAGGCUAGAGUGCGGGAGAGGAGAAUGGGAAUUCCUGGUGUAGCGGUGAAAUGCGCAGAUAUCAGGAAGAACACCCGUGGCGAAGGCGGUUCUCUGGAACGCAACUGACGCUGAGACGCGAAAGCGUGGGGAGCAAACAGG
rnacentral:rRNA from 1 species